UGGCCUCGCCCCUGGAGCGGCAGGCCCCGCCCCCGGGGGGGGCUGCUGCCCUGGAGCCCCGCCCACAGCGUCCGACACCCUGCCAGGCUGGGGAAAGUCUUGACCCGAAUACCCGCUAGGGGAAAACCUAGCCACGGAGGAGUGGGGCAGGGCAUCCUGGGGCGGGGCCAGGGGUCUCCCGGAUACCUGAAGAGGGGAUGAGUGUGUGUGUGUGUGUGUGUAUCUGUGAAGGGGCUUGUGCACGAGGUUUGAAAAUUUAGAGAUGGAUGGCUUUGGAGAUUCAUGGAGAAUCUGGUGGUGAGGGUACAGAAAGGGAUCACUGUAAGGAGGUUGGGAGGCUCAGGGAAAGAUUCUAAGAGAUCCAGGGAUCUGCAGGAGCCUUUAGGCAAGGGAAGAGUGGUGGCUGCGCUGUGCAGGGGGAAAAGGAUGUACAGGGGGAAGGGUGAGAUCCCUGAAGGAGGUUAGAGAUGACCCUGAGCUGACUGUGCAGAACCCCCCCCACCCCAGGAAGUGAGGGCCCAGGAUCUCCCCUCUACACCGCUGCCCCAGAAGAGGUGAAAGGCUGCCUCCCCUUCUCUGUCAAGGGGAGAGGGAAGCGGUGGAAACCCGGGAUCCCGUGGGUGUAGUUCUGGCGUGUCCCCUGGGAGAGUCUGGAGAGUGGUCCCUCCUAGAUAAACUUUCCCCCAGCUCCUGAUGUUGGAGCUCAGAUACCCCUUUUCCCAGCAGAAAGAUCUUAACUGUGUGUUGACUCAUGGAGAGGGGAAUGUGCCUGAGCUGAGUGGGUGCUCAGGGUUGGGGGAUGUGCUCAACCAUUCUCUGACCCUGUCUUCGGGACCAUCCCCCCCACCCCCCCACCCCCGCCCUGUGUUACCGUGGCUGCCAGGCAGUGGGAGAGACUGGAACAGCCCAGCUGAAGUCUCUGUCGUCAGUGGUGCCCAAAUAAGAAGUGAGAGGAGGAAGUGGAAGGCCAGUCUUGGCGUCUAAAGAGCAGCUAGCCACCACAAGGCGUCAGCAUCACAAGCUGGGGGCCUCCGCAUCCCACCAUUGGCCACUAAACAGAGGCUGGGGAGGUACAGUCCCCAUCUGUCCCCUUCUCCUCCAGUCUUCCCAAAUCUGUGUUAUGCCUUUACAGCUGACAUUUAUUGAGCAUUUACCAUGGGCCGUGCACACCGUUCUGUGGGUGCUGUUACAUACAUGUAUUAACUCAUUUGGCCUUCGUAACAACCCUAGGAAAUCGGUACCUCACGGAUGAGGAAACUGAGGCCCAGGGAGGUUAAGUAACGUGCUCUAGGCCACUGAGUGCCAGAACGGAGGCUCAAAGCCAGGCAGCCCGGCACCAGAGCCUGCCAUCCUAACCCCUAUGUGAUGCUGUCUGCUUCAGUUUCUCCUUCCCCCUACAUUUAUGCCCUGAUCCAUGCCGGGUACCGGCUGGGCACUGGGGCUACAGAGUCUAUGGUCUGGUUGUAUAUACAUGUGCUGUGUUAGACGGGUGGCACGAACAGUCCAGAGAGGCAAGUGGCCACAUCUGACAGGAAGGAAAGGCUGUCUCCUGUCUCGGUGCCCUGGUCUGUCUCAGUCGCUGUCCUUCCUUGUCUCCUUGACUCUGUCUUUCCCUCAGCCCCCCAUCCCUGGGGCCCCAGCUCCUGCAGGAGCUAUGGGUGGGAGGGGUCUGUGCCACCCCUCAGUAAUUACACAAGUCCAGAUGGCAGGAUGCUUGUUGGGUGGGGGGCAGAGGGUAGACUGGGGGCUGCUGGGAGCCAAGAGCUGAGUCCCUUCCUCUCCCUCCUGCCACCUCCCCCUGGGCACCACCAAGUGGCCAUCGGCUGAGGGGCCGAGGGGGUGUUGGUGGGGAAACAUGGAACUCCACUGUGAAGCAUCAGCACAGAUGGACCCCUGGACCGUCUGCUGCCUGCUCCUGACAGACGGCAUCUGGGGUGGGGGUGGGGGUGGGGAUGGGGAGGAGAGCAAAGGCAGGGGAGGCAGUGGUUUGGUUUCUUUUCUCUUCACUCCUGUGCGUAUCCCUGAAGAGACCAGCAAAAGGGCACCCUGUGGGAUCCCUUGUGCGAAGGACCACCACCUUACCUAUCCCAGGGAUGACCUAAAGGACACCUCCUUGCCUGAAAGCUGGACAAGUGAACACCACGGGUGUCACGGCACCCGCGUCUAACAGCCCUGUUGAGACAUUCCUCCUUCAGGGGCGCCUGCGUGGCUCCGUCGGUUAAGCGUCCAGCUCUUGAUUUCAGCUCAGGUCACGAUCUCACAGUUCAUGUGAUUGAGCCGCGUGUCGGGCUCUGUGCCGUCAGCGCAGCGGCUGCUUGGGAUUCUCUUUCUCCCCCCACCUCUCUGCCCCUCCACCUGCUGGCAUGUGUGGUCUCUCUCUCGAAAUAAAUAAACAUUAAAAAAAAAAAAAAAUAGACAUUCCUCCUUCAGGUUUCCCCCUCUUCCAGGCAGAGCUCCGGAGAACCAAAGAGUAAGUGUGGGCCCAGGAAAUGCAAUUUCUGGGAGGCACGUGGCAUGAUUUCCUCCAGUCCUGGAAUCCAAGAGCUGGAAAGGAAGGGCCUGCCCUGUGGCCUGGCAAUGAUACGACGUGGUCCAAGCACUCAUUGAACACAGGAGGCAAACUGAGACCCGUGGGGGGGGCUGCCGGGCUGCAGGUGAAGUUCAACAAGGAGAGGGCGGACAGCUGGAGGGGCCUCCUCUGUGCAAGAGUCUCCACACGCCAGACACGCGAGAUUCUGAGGAAAGCAGAUUACCCUCGGUAACAUGGAUGGGCCUCAUCUAAUCAGUUGAAGGCCCUAAAAAACCCUGCAGUUCCCUGAGGAAGAAGGAAUUCUGCCUCCAGACUGCCUUUGGACUCAAGACUGCAUCAUCAACUCUCCCCUGCAUCUCUAGCUGUCGGCUUGAUUUGAAACUUGCCAGCCUCCACAGUCAAUUAGCAAGCACGUUCUCCAGACUGUAAACCUCAGAAGACACGACCUGCCAGGGACAAAAACUUAAGAGGUGUGAAAAAAAACCCAAGUGAGACAUUAUUCCAAAGAAUUCAGGUCUCCUGUGUCACAGGGGCCUUGCAAAGGUGAAACAGUGUCGGUAACCUUCAAGGCACACAAAGAGGUACCAGCAAAGUUGCCCUUCUGAUGUUCAGAAUGGUGCAGGUGAAGCUGCAAUCCAUAGCCUGGUGGAUUUUCGAUCCACGCCUGGCAAGAUGACUGAUCCGUCACAGGAUGGCUUUUUAACGGGGUUGAGAUUCACUGCGAGCCACCACAUCUUUUUCAACAGAGAGCUUCAACAGCCACAAUACCUUGUCACUUCAGAGACACCUGGAUUUCUGCAGCUAUCUUUGUCCAUAAAUGAAUUAUGGCUAGGGCACAAGGACAAUUUAAUUAGCAGCUGAUCCGGGUUAUUGGGCUAUGUGCCAAACUUCAAGCCAACUUCUUAGAGGACUCGCUAUCCUGGGUUCCCGCGGCCGAGAGGAGGAAAGAUCUGCCCCGCCACCCACACACUGAAAAGACAACGAAGCACGGGAAGACUCCCACCUCAAAUCACCCGAGUCCCCCGAGAUUCGCAUUUAUUCUCCAAUCUACAAGGGGAGAAGCAGAACCUGAGCAGGGCUCUUAGGCAGCCUUCAAGGCUAGGUGGCUGCUGACACACCAGGAUGGAGAUCCUCUUUUGUACAGAGAAAAAAAUGCUGAAAGACAAAGGCAGACACAGACAAAGCCCAAGAAAACGUGUGUGGUUUGCGCCACCCCCCACCCCCACCCCGCUGCCCUGCACACUCCAGGCCAGGCCGCUCCCGGUGUUUCAGGGAGGGGAGACCCUGCACUCAGACUGGCUCCUCUUCUGAUGCGACCUGCUUCGACAUGCUGUCGUCAUUCCGGCCAACGAGGAAGGCAGCAAGGCCACCUCAGCACGCGUCUGCUCCCUUCCCCGCUCCCCUGACAAGAGCUGGGCGGUCAGUCUACACACAUGGAAGACAGAGGGCACCAAAAAGCUCUGUGAAUAAAACUUUAAUAAUGUACAGCAGAAAUUGGACAGGCUCAUUCUUAUAUUAAAACAAAAGAUUUCCUAUAUUACAACUUAUUUACAUUUGCAUACUGAAGAGGUAAAGUGUCUAAGUGGCUAUUUUACAGUCCUUUCUAAUAAAAUGUACAAAAACAAACAGAAGUACCGAGAAUGCCGUUCGGGGGCCUUGAUGGCGACGUAAGAACGGGCUUUGACUUGGUCUGUGAAUCCAGAAUCCAGAGGUGUAGGUAGCCCUACGGAUCAGGGUUGGUUAGCCCCAGGGGCCAAACACCACGGCUUUAGGCUUUAGUUUCUCCCCAACUCUCUAACUCCUAACCCUUGGUGUUAAGAGCGAUGGGGACAGGGGUGGGAGCUUCCCAAAAAACUGCUCAGUCUUCCCCGAGGUGUGGUGAGGCCAGGAGGUCCCCCUGGGGAGAGGGCUAGAGGCUUGGGAGUCCCUGGGUCGAGGAGUGUUGGCAGAUCCCAGAGGCUGGUUGUGACCGGGGCACAGGAGUCUAAGUUCCAUUACCACCCACACCCUGCCUGGGUCUGCUGCAGAGCAGGUAGGUGGGGGGUCAGCAGGGCUGGGGAAAGAAGGUCCCCCUAAUGACACCAUUGGUAUUCAAGGGAAAUUAGUCAGUAGCCAGCAAACUGGCCCAAAGGGUGAGGCGAAGAUCUCCUUUAACGCAAGGGAAGAAGCAACACAUCAGGAAAAUAAAUAGGAAGACCGGGAGCAUCUGGGAGACCCGUGUAAGCAGGGAGAGGCGUGCCCCUCCUCCACAAGCUUUGGCAGAGAAUCACUGGGCUGGAGGCAGGCAUGCUCUCAGGCUGCAGACAUCAUAUGCCUCCCCUGGGGGCAGGAAGGGGGCUCAGAAUGAAUGCAGUAAUUUAGGGUCUCACUGCCCACUGCAGGGCUCUUUGGGGGUAUGGAGGGAUCCUGGUCCUUGGUGGUCUUUUCUAAGAGCAAUCAUUCCAGGCUCAAAAGGCUCUCAGAACCAACGGUACAAACUUCUGGUCUUGAAACAGGCACCCACUAACUUGAAUCGGCAACUUCUUCAGUGUUCCAAGAGUAGGACCCAAGCCUGUCUUGCUCACAUAACGUAUUCCAAGUGCCCAGCACAGUGCCUGACACACAACAGGUACGCAGCAAACAUCUGUUGAGUAAAUGCCUGGAGGAGAAGGCGCAACCGGCUGGACAAUGCACAAAAGGCCAGGGCCCUGAAGCAAAAACCACUCACAGAAUUGAGGGGUGGGGGGCACAGUGCAAGAGAGACUAACCUCCAGGGCAAAGAGGGAGGGACUCUCGCUGCUCGGUGGGAACAGGCUCAGGUGCAAGGACAAACAUUUCCAGUGUGACUGAGCUAUGUGCGCUUGAUUGGAGCAUUUUUUUUUUUUUUUGUGGUUGUUUUG